GAGUUUGAUCAUGGCUCAGGAUGAACGCUAGCGGCAGGCCUAACACAUGCAAGUCGAACGGUAACAGGAAAGAGCUUGCUUUUUUGCUGACGAGUGGCGCACGGGUGCGUAACGCGUAUACAAUCUACCUUUUACAGAGGAAUAGCCCAGAGAAAUUUGGAUUAAUACCUUAUAGUAUUUUUAAUCGGCAUCGGUUAAGAAUUAAAGUUUCGGCGGUAAAAGAUGAGUAUGCGUUCUAUUAGUUAGAUGGUGUGGUAAUGGCACACCAUGGCUACGAUAGAUAGGGGCCCUGAGAGGGGGAUCCCCCACACUGGUACUGAGACACGGACCAGACUCCUACGGGAGGCAGCAGUGAGGAAUAUUGGACAAUGGGCGCAAGCCUGAUCCAGCCAUGCCGCGUGCAGGAAGACUGCCCUAUGGGUUGUAAACUGCUUUUAUACAGGAAGAAACACCUCUACGUGUAGAGGCUUGACGGUACUGUAAGAAUAAGGAUCGGCUAACUCCGUGCCAGCAGCCGCGGUAAUACGGAGGAUCCAAGCGUUAUCCGGAAUCAUUGGGUUUAAAGGGUCCGUAGGUGGAUAAUUAAGUCAGAGGUGAAAUCCUGCAGCUCAACUGUAGAAUUGCCUUUGAUACUGGUUAUCUUGAGUUAUUAUGAAGUAGUUAGAAUAUGUAGUGUAGCGGUGAAAUGCAUAGAUAUUACAUAGAAUACCAAUUGCGAAGGCAGAUUACUAAUAAUAUACUGACACUGAUGGACGAAAGCGUGGGGAGCGAACAGGAUUAGAUACCCUGGUAGUCCACGCCGUAAACGAUGGUCACUAGCUGUUCGAACUUCGGUUUGAGUGGCUAAGCGAAAGUGAUAAGUGACCCACCUGGGGAGUACGUUCGCA
rnacentral:rRNA from 1 species